CGACGGGUAGCCGGCCUGAGAGGGCGACCGGCCACAUUGGGACUGAGAUACGGCCCAGACUCCUACGGGAGGCAGCAGUGGGGAAUAUUGCACAAUGGGCGCAAGCCUGAUGCAGCGACGCCGCGUGAGGGAUGGAGGCCUUCGGGUUGUAAACCUCUUUUAUCGGGGAGCAAGCGAGAGUGAGUUUACCCGUUGAAUAAGCACCGGCUAACUACGUGCCAGCAGCCGCGGUAAUACGUAGGGUGCAAGCGUUAUCCGGAAUUAUUGGGCGUAAAGGGCUCGUAGGCGGUUCGUCGCGUCCGGUGUGAAAGUCCAUCGCUUAACGGUGGAUCCGCGCCGGGUACGGGCGGGCUUGAGUGCGGUAGGGGAGACUGGAAUUCCCGGUGUAACGGUGGAAUGUGUAGAUAUCGGGAAGAACACCAAUGGCGAAGGCAGGUCUCUGGGCCGUUACUGACGCUGAGGAGCGAAAGCGUGGGGAGCGAACAGGAUUAGAUACCCUGGUAGUCCACGCCGUAAACGGUGGAUGCUGGAUGUGGGGACCAUUCCACGGUCUCCGUGUCGGAGCCAACGCGUUAAGCAUCCCGCCUGGGGAGUACGGCCGCAAGGCUAAAACUCAAAGAAAUUGACGGGGGCCCGCACAAGCGGCGGAGCAUGCGGAUUAAUUCGAUGCAACGCGAAGAACCUUACCUGGGCUUGACAUGUUCCCGACAGCCGUAGAGAUACGGUCUCCCUUCGGGGCGGGUUCACAGGUGGUGCAUGGUCGUCGUCAGCUCGUGUCGUGAGAUGUUGGGUUAAGUCCCGCAACGAGCGCAACCCUCGCCCCGUGUUGCCAGCGGAUUAUGCCGGGAACUCACGGGGGACCGCCGGGGUUAACUCGGAGGAAGGUGGGGAUGACGUCAGAUCAUCAUGCCCCUUACGUCCAGGGCUUCACGCAUGCUACAAUGGCCGGUACAACGGGAUGCGACGCGGCGACGCGGAGCGGAUCCCUGAAAACCGGUCUCAGUUCGGAUCGCAGUCUGCAACUCGACUGCGUGAAGGCGGAGUCGCUAGUAAUCGCGAAUCAGCAACGUCGCGGUGAAUGCGUUCCCGGGCCUUGUACACACCGCCCGUCAAGUCAUGAAAGUGGGCAGCACCCGAAGCCGGUGGCCUAACCCCUUGUGGGAUGGAGCCGUCUAAGGUGAGGCUCGUGAUUGGGACUAAGUCGUAACAAGGUAGCCGUACCGGAAGGUGCGGCUG
rnacentral:rRNA from 1 species